UUAUGAUGAUGAUGAUGAUGAUGAUGAUGAUCAUGAUCAUGAUCAUGAUUUAACAUACAUCAUCAUCCGUCUUU
rnacentral:miRNA from 1 species